UACGGAGGGUGCAAGCGUUAAUCGGAAUUACUGGGCGUAAAGCGUGCGUAGGCGGUUUAUUAAGUCAGAUGUGAAAGCCCCGGGCUUAACCUGGGAACUGCAUUUGAAACUGGUCAACUAGAGUAUGGUAGAGGAAAGUGGAAUUUCUGGUGUAGCGGUGAAAUGCGUAGAUAUCAGAAGGAACAUCAAUGGCGAAGGCA
rnacentral:rRNA from 1 species